rnacentral:rRNA from 1 species
GACGAACGCUGGCGGCGUGCUUAACACAUGCAAGUCGAACGGCAAGGCCCUUCGGGGUACACGAGUGGCGAACGGGUGAGUAACACGUGGGUGAUCUGCCCUGCACUUCGGGAUAAGCCUGGGAAACUGGGUCUAAUACCGGAUAGGACCACUGCCUGCAUGGGUGGUGGUGGAAAGCUUUUGCGGUGUGGGAUGGGCCCGCGGCCUAUCAGCUUGUUGGUGGGGUGAUGGCCUACCAAGGCGACGACGGGUAGCCGGCCUGAGAGGGUGACCGGCCACACUGGGACUGAGAUACGGCCCAGACUCCUACGGGAGGCAGCAGUGGGGAAUAUUGCACAAUGGGCGCAAGCCUGAUGCAGCGACACCGCGUGAGGGAUGACGGCCUUCGGGUUGUAAACCUCUUUCAGCACCGACGAAGCGCAAGUGACGGUAGGUGCAGAAGAAGGACCGGCCAACUACGUGCCAGCAGCCGCAGUAA